rnacentral:lncRNA from 1 species
GUUUACAUUUUGCAUUAUCAGCAUCUGCGCGCGCCGCGUUGUUCUCCGUUCUCCGCUUCUUCAUCAGUUGCGUUUUUUCCGCCGGGUCGUCUAAACAUGUGAUGUAAACAAACCGUUCGACCACAUGGUUUAUCAGUGCAGCGAGUUCGCGAUUUUCCUAACGGUAGGCCACAAUCGUCUGUCCUGAAUUCGCGUGGUGCGUGGUUUUUACUCACAGAAAAGUGUAGUGCUCCAUCGUGGGGCAGAUUUCUUCCGUAGAUCUUAGUGUUGUAGAAAACUGAACCGCUCUUUUCGAACGCGGGAAUUUUUCGUUGUCUUUUUCGGUGGUCCAAUGACUUGGACCUCACUGAAGUUCAAACUAAACGUCUCGUGAAUUUUUUAGUGUUUCUCUGAUAACCUUCACAGGAUUGUGUGUUCAUAAUUUUCCGUUCGUCCUAGCGUCGUGCGUUAAUACUAGCUUUCAUCAGCAUGUGCAUAGUUUUGAAUCCGUGAAUCCGAAUUGCGUUGUACUCAUGUGAAAAUGGAAAACCUAUCGGCUCCCUGCUUCAAGUACGACUCAGAGAUCACAGACUGUCACCUUUUCAGGAGUGAAUACGCUCGCGACUUGGCGAUGGACGCCUCUCAUCAGAGCAAAUCCCUAGAUUACUCCUUUCGCGAUUCUCCCAUCCGUGAGGAGAACGAGACGAAAUCUUGGUUCCGAAAAAGUUCGUUAUCGUCACCGAAACCCAGUCCGCGAAGUGCAUUCAUGGAUACCUCUAAUCGUGAUUGCUCCAAGUUCUAUCCGCGCAACAGUGAAAUCACCAAGUUCAACAAACUGAGAAAGGAUACCGCUAAAUUAUUGGAUUCGAGGAAUGGUGACAUACUGAUGAACAGCCGUGAAGAAUCGUUGGAGGACGAAGUUUGUCGUCUUAAAAAGGUAAAUAAUGCAGUUUUGACUUCCCGACGAAUUUCUUCAGUUGACUGUGAGUGGUUUUUUUAUCCCCAUUUCUUGUUUUGUGAACUAAGCAAGUCGCAGCAGUUCACCCCUAAACUUUUAAUGAAGCACUACUUGAUGCCGUGACGCAACCCUCCUAUGUUGUCCUAUGUUGUUUGAAAGUUUUCCACUUAUCUGAAUAUUUAAGCGCUUGAUACAGUGAUACACAUGAGAAUCUUCAUGCUCAUGUAUAAUGGUUUCAUGCAGUUCUUGAGAUAAAUCAGUUUCUCUAGCACAAGAGCAUCCCAGAAAAGUUCCCAGAUUUACCUUGAAGGUAAAAAUUGAUGUUUCACAACCGAUAAUCGACACAAUAAUAUUUUAACCCCUUUGACGCAAGUAAUUACUUUUUUUGACACAGCGUCAUUUUUUCUUUACGCAAUAAGAAACUUCCAAGGAAAAAACCCGUGUUCUGGUGAUAAUAAACUUUAAUAUUCCUCCCACGGAGAAAAAGCUUAAUUCAUGGGACCCGUAGUUCAAGUCACAGAUAGUACUUCGAUAUACUUCGACCAAAACUCGUAUUGGGGGUCAACGGAAGUACUGACGUAUUUGUACAUCGGAAGUGUUAAUUAAAUUUUGGCAGCUGGACCUCCUUUAAGAUGAACGAUCCAAAAACUUCGGAGAUCCAUAUGACAUGAACUUUAGAUUCCGUGCACGAAGUUUUUAAAUCCGUGUGUGUAAAAUAGAAAUACAGAGCAAACAUCGUAAAAGUAACAGUUUGAUAGAGCAAGAUUUUUUUUCUCUCUACAAUUUUCAAAACAGGUAUCACUGUAAGGUAGCAUGGUUGACCUUUUUUGAACAAUUAACGUAUCAAUCCAUCAGUUUUUCAACGGACAGAGGGACUUCAAAUCCCUGAAACGGCUCUAAAAAUACGACAACCUCGCGACAAAGUCGAAGCCUCGCUGUUUAAUUUCCGAAGAAAGUUGAUUUGGAGUCGUCGGAGCUCUUGCAGCGGCAAAGCGUGAAAAGUUAGCGAGUUGAAGAGUAAUGGGAGAUAGUUUUAUUGGCGAGAACCUAUUAGAAUAGUUCCCAACUAAAUGAAGCAUCAGGUUCCUGAGUGGCACGAGCAUUUCAGUGCCCCGGCUCGUGGGCAGCCGUUGCAUUUUCAACAGAAAAUAUUCAAAAUUUGACGUGGAUCUGUAAAAAGCUCCAUUCGAAUUGACAACGACCCUCGCGGACGGACGCUAUGGAUCAUGAGUGAUUAACAGUAGAAUCCCUUGCCCUGUUGUCAGUUUUGCCUUUUUACUGAAGUGGAAGUGAAAAACGAAGUCAAAUUGCCUAUCAGUGGUUUUUAAUUGGGUCAAAUUCAGAAAGGUUGGUUUUUUUUUUAUGUAUAUAAAUUUCUUUCUUUAUCUUUUGGCAAAAAAGGAUUGUACUUGAUAAGUGCUUGAAAAAAAGUCCAUAAGGAUAAUGCAGUUAAUUAUUUUAUCUUCGUUGAGCUCUUCCCAGCACUGGAAAAAAACACAUUGGAUCUAAAGUCCAGACUCUUAAAAACAUCGACUAGAAAAAAUACUCUUGAUUCAAUCAGAUUUAAGCUUAAAUCAAGAACCAAGCCUCUUAAUUUGAGCGGAUUUCCUUUUGAUUUAAGCUUAAAUCUGAUUAAAUCAAGAGUCCUUUUUCUUGUUAAUGUUUUCAAGAGACUGGACUCUAGAUCCAAUGGGUUUUUUUCCAGUGUGGGUUCAGACUGGCUUCAAAUUGUCCGAGUGUUUUGUUUGGGAACAAACCCAUUUAGUAUUUUUAAAAAAUAAUAAAUAUUUCGUCUCUUUUACACUCAACAGAUGUACCGGGGACCAAAAUCUAUAAUCUCCCCCUCUCUCUAAAGUAAUGUUUGUGGGAUCAUUGCUUCAGGCAACAGUAGGGUAGUUUUUCAUGGUGCUCCAGUAAUCAACUCAGUUGGGGUUUGGGGGUACUUGGGUACGUAUCUUAGACCAUGGCAGCAAAUUCAAAUUUCAAAAGCGGCCAUGUCCGCUCGCAAUUUCUCCAAGAUCCCUCUCUGGCAUCGACGCCCGAGUUCUCGUCAUUCUCGUUUGGGUCGACGGCAACUUUUCCCGAUGGUGGCGUCGGGCGUCGCGGCGCUUAGCGCGGGCGCCCUGAAAUAGGCCACGUUCGGAUAAAGGAUUACGGCCGCGGCGCGGGGUAAUUGCCGCGGAGUAAUUAACCGGUGCCCGCGCUUGGGCUUCGAAACCUCAUCGCAACUCCAACUCGAAGACUCGAAGGUCGUCCAAGAAAAAGAAACCAGUCGGUGACGCGCGGAGUCCCGGAUUCUACGGGCCACCGUCACCCGAGGGACUCUUCUCGCUAUUUCUACAAGUGCAAUGAGAUAAUUGUGAAAAAAUUCUAUCAUUUACAGGGUGUCUUGAGGAUAGACGGCCGGACUGCAGGAGUUUGUGCCAUGGGUCCAAAUGGUCGCAUUUUUGCCAAACGGAAUUAUGUGCAUAAGAAUAUAUGCCUAGCAGGGCUCACGUCAUUAUGCACAUAGUCCCGUUUGGCAAAAACACGUCCAAAUAAGAUUUCUUUCUUCAAAAAAGUCUCCCCCUCCUCAAAUCCUGAAAUUUUUGACCUUAGACACCCCUCACACCUCCCUCCCCCAUAAAAAAUUUCUUGCGGAGCCACCGGAAGAAGGGGGAGUGCCCAUUAUUUAUGAGUUAUGGUCUUAACCGUCGCCGACAUUCGGAAUUACAGAUGUGUAUACAUCAAUUUAAUCAGGUCAUUUAAUCUGUACGGAAUAACUGCAAAGUUUAGCAACUUGACAUUAAUAAAGAGCUUGAUGCAAAAACGACGUAUUCGCCCCCCUCUGAAAUUUCUUCCAGCAUCGUCUAUCAAUUACUCAUACUUGAGUGCUUCUUUUGCCAAAUUUUUAGACCCCCAAAACGUUUUGAGGAGCGCUAGAGGGGAUGGAAGUCAAAGCCAAAACUGGGGGGGGGGGCGAAAAACGUCGUUUUUGCAUCAAGCUCUUCAUUAUUUUAGUUAUUGUCUAAAGACUGCUGCCUGUUAGUUGCGUCUUAGACAUUUUUCUUGAACAGCGUGCAAUAACCCACUAAAGUAUUUCCAUUCUCGUAAUCACCUGAGACUGCCUCAUUGCGCGCAGUAGCGCAGUGAUAACCUCAAAAACAGUGUCACUGAGUGUCACGAACGAUAAAUUUGUGAUUACCAACCACAGUCCACAGUGCGGUAUACCUCACAACUUCGUGCCAUUCAAGCUGUUGUCAUUUGACUUACGUACUGGCAGGAAAUAGUUUUGUUUUUCAUAAACGCCAUUGCACAAUUUUCCCUCCACGAGGAGUCAAAACGUUUAUUGAAAAAUUUAGUUGAAAGCACGCUCACUGCUUCUGUUACUGACCUUCUGUGAUACAGUAUUGCCUAAU